rnacentral:lncRNA from 1 species
ACUGGACAUUGCUGUAGGUUCCAUGUCCUCCAUUGGAUCCUUUGGGUCUCCAGUGCACAGACAGAUAUCCUGACCUCUACAUCUGACUCUAACUUUCUUCACUUUUCCAAUGGGCUUCAAUUUUCAUCAAGGAACCUGAGAGAGUCCCUCUGUUGUUUUCUUCUGCUUUGUCUUCUGGAGCUCAGGACAAUGGACUUCAUGACACCCUCUGCCUCUGUGAUGUGGAUCCAGGUAACCCUGGUGAAGUUUGCUUUAUUAGCAAUGGGUAAAGGUACCUGCUUCACCUUGCCUCAAUAGAAGUUAGUGUUAUACAUCUCAUUUUUACCAGGAAAUUUGAGAUGAUGGCAAGUAGGAGUGAUAAGAAUAAACAACUAUGCUCUUCUUGAUCUUGGUGUGAAAAGCAUCCUGUUUCUCCCACUAAGUAUGAUAUUAUGCCAAGAAUUUUUCAUUGAACAGGGAUGGUGCAAACUGAGUUUGGUGAGCUUUUCUUCUAUAGAUUAUGCUUAAGACUUUUUUAAAAAUUGCACUGGAAAAUAAGGUAAAUCUAAAUAAACAAUCUUUCUGGCUUUUUAAAUAAAUAUUUCCACAACUAAACCACAGC